ensembl:misc_RNA Metazoa_SRP Metazoan signal recognition particle RNA
GCCGGGUGCAGUGGUGUGCACCUGUAGUCCCAGCUACUUUGGAGGCUGAGGCAGGAGAAUCGCUUGAACCUGGGAGGUGGAGUUGCAGUGAGCAGCGAUCUCGCCACUGCACUCCACCCCGGGCAACAGUGCAAGACUCUAUCUCAA